rnacentral:tRNA from 1 species
GGAGGGAUCGCAUAGUCCGGUCUAGUGCGCACGCCUGGAGAGCGUGUAGGUGGCGAAAGCCGCCUCGAGGGUUCAAAUCCCUCUCCCUCCG